GCAAGCUCCAGACUAAUGGUAUACAUGUAGAACAUGAUAGGGAAUGAGACCCAAACAGCUGUGGUGCACACAGGAUCAAGCCAGAGGGUGGCAAGAAAGGGUGCUGAGCAGUGUUUCAUGCAGCCAAGCAAGUAGGAGUAGUAGUUUCUGGAUCAAACAGGAGAGGGGCAGUCUUGUUUUGCUGUAUAUGGGUCCUAUGGUUUGGAACACCAAAUUAGUUUCUACCAUAUUAAGCAGCAUGGAUAUGUGAAAACAAGCAAUUAAAAUUAGCCUGAA